rnacentral:rRNA from 1 species
CAGUCGCCGCGGGAAUACGGAGGGUGCAAGCGUUAUCCGGAUUCACUGGGUUUAAAGGGUGCGUAGGUGGGCAGGUAAGUCAGUGGUGAAAUCUCUGAGCUUAACUCAGAAACUGCCGUUGAUACUAUCUGUCUUGAAUAUAGUGGAGGUGAGCGGAAUAUGUCAUGUAGCGGUGAAAUGCUUAGAUAUGAUAUAGAACACCCAUUGCGAGGGCAGCUCGCUACGCUAUUAUUGACACUGAGGCACGAAAGCGUGGGGAUCAAACAGGAUUAGAUACCCCGGUAGUCCCUGUCUCUUAUAA